UGCUCUGUGUAGUGUAUAUGAAGAAAUACUUUCCGCAAAAUUUCCUAACUAAGAUGUCUAUAAAAUUCUUUGGUUUCUAAGGAACGCUAAAACUAUUUAACUAACAAAGCACAAGAUCCAAAGAACUUCCAACAAUUCUCCACCUGAGACCGUUCAAAAUGUGGCUAUAGUCAAUACAAAGUCCUUAACAAGAAUUAAUACAAAUAUCUCAACAAGGCCACAUAGUAAGAGGUAAAUUGCUGGAGAUCUUUUAUAACUGAACAUUGUACACUUUUUCUUUUUCCAACUCAAGGAGAAUAUUGAGCCUUCAAUGCUCCUAUAAUAUAACUCUAAAGUCCGUUUUAAAUAUCAAGCUGGAGCAAGGAAAAAUGUUGGAGACAUUGGGCUGAGGUGUCUGUGGGACCUUGAGUAGGAUGUCUAGGAGGCAGCUGAAUAUACAUGUCUGGGGGUCCCCAUGGAGACCCGGAAGCUGCCAGCAUGUAGGUCGUAAUUGAGGUCAUGGGUUUCGAUAAGGCUUAACAAAUUUUAAAGAUAUUUUUCCAUAAUCCUUGUUUUUCUAAAUAACAUAUGUACAUUAUACUUUAACUUUUUAUAUUUAAAUAUUAUAUUUCCCUAGCAUGGAAGAUGAGGAUCAAGCUCUCUCUACCAACUGCUCACCAUCUCCCAUCAGACAUACAAACAUCCCUUUCCCCCUUCCUUCAUCCUCCCCAUAUUGUUAUACCAUAAUUAGUGGUUAAAUUAUCAAUCAAUAUUCACAUGGAUAUGUCUAUAUAUAUAUAUAUAUCAUACAUUUAGUGUACUAUGUUUUUCCUUGUACACAUUUUGUUUUUACAUAUUUUUUCCUAAUCUUUCUUUCCCUGUUCAGUCCCACACUUUCCAAAAGAACAGUAAAACUCUUCUCAAUACAGUAAAACACACGAGGGAAUCCACCGCUUAAUAUUUGUGUCUCCUAUAAUCCCUCCAUCAUCAGUUCCAUAUGGAAGGAUUACUGCCUAGGCUGACUGUCCAGCUGUCAUACUGAGGUUUUCCUUUGCUACCAUCUGUUAAUUUUUUCUUUGCUUCUCCCAGUUUUAGAGACCCCGAUUCCUAGAUUCUAAGUCUUUCUAUUUCUUGGUUUAUAUCCUUGUUUCGGUGGAUUGCAUCCUACAGUAGCUUUCUGAAAACAAGUGCAGGGAAAGAACAUCUUUUGAGAUCUUGCAAGUCUACUCUCACUCUUGAAUGGUCAUUUUGUUAGGACUAGGACUCUAGGUUGGAAAUCAUUUUCCCUCAGAAUGUUGAAGGCACUGCUGCACCAUUUCCAAACUGUAGAGAUGUGUAUGAUAUUCUGAUUCUUGGUCCCUAGUAUAUAACCUGUUCCUCUCUGGUAGCUUUUACAAACUACUCUUUAUCAUUCGAGUCCUGAUAUUUCACCAUGAUGUACUUUAUGUGUGAAUUGUUUUUCAUCUAUUAUGCUAGGCACUCACUUGCUCUUUCAGUUUGGAAACCCAGGUCUUCAGAAGACUUGAAAACUUUGUUCUCAUUUAUUUGAUAACUAACCCCUUCUACUUUCCAUUUUCUCCUUCUGGGCUCUUACUGGUCAGAUGUUUGAGCUUUUGGACUGAUUUUCUCAUCUUUUCUACUUUCCAUCACUUUAUCCUUCUUUCUACUUCUGAGACAUUACCUUUCCUCAGCAUUAUCUAUUGGCCUUUAAAAUUUCUACAAUCUGCCAGGCAUGGUGGCUCAUGCCUAUAAUCUCAGCACUUUGGGAAGCCAAGGUGGGAGGAUUGCUUGAGUCCAGGAGUUCAAGACCAGCCUGGGCAACAUAGUAAAAUCCUGUCCCUACAAAAUUUAAAAAAAUAAUAAUUAGUAUAUGUGCUGCCAAAGAGAACACAAAUAAUAAUAAUAAUUAGCCAGGCAUGGCAGUGCAUGCCUGUAGUCCCAGCUACUCGGGAGGCUGAGGUGGGAGGAUCGCUUAAUCCCAGGAGGUUUAGGCUGAGGUGAACUGUGAUUGUGCCACUGCACUCCAGCCUGGGCAACACAGUGAGACCCUGUUUAUUAAAAAAAAAUUCUACUAUCAUAUUUAUUUUUCAAAAGCCCUUUCCUGUUCUCUGAAUGCUUCUUUACAUAAAAUCCCAUUCUUAUUUCAUAGAUAUAUUUCCUCUUAUCAUAUGAAUAGUAUUAAUCAUUAUAUUUUGAACUUUUUUAUGCCCCCUACGUUGUCUCUACUCCUUUCUUCCAUUCAUUUAUCUGUCAGGAUCUCCAUGUACACUUAUAAUCUGCCUCAGUUUUUUGGUGAUUCCUGGCUUCUCUUCAUACUUAAUGAUUAGGCACUACAUUUAUAAGAAGUUCAUCAUGCAUGGGCAGAGGCUACUGCCUCGUGAGCUUCUCCAGAGUUUAAGAAAGGAUCCAUCUAUUCUGCUAGGCCCUGUGUUUGGGGAGGCCAAUCUCCUCACCUAUGGCUGCCUAUGUUGAGUGGGCUCUAAAGCAGAAGAGGCCAAGGGAAACUUCCUGUUCAGCAUGCAAAGUGUCACUUAGUGACCCUGCUUCCAGCACAUUACCUGAGUGCCAGAAUUAAUCUCCAGGCAUGGGGUGUGGCAGGGGGAAUGGCAGGUACAGGGGAAGUUGCCUCGUUGCCUGAAGAUGGGAGAGAAAAUAUGGGUAUCUAAAUGGUUCCUUAUGCAAAUGUUCCUGCAGCCUGCUUUUUGCCCUUUCCCAAUGCCUCCACCUUCAGCGGUACCUGAUGCCUCUGAUUUCAAGCUUCUCAGAGUUUUCACAACAAGAAUGGGUUUCUUCCUUCUUGAUUUUACCCCCAUGCCAACCUCACAGGCAGCUGAGUGUUAGCUUUCUCCAAAGGAGAAAGAGGGAAAGAGGGAAGGUGGUGGGCGGGGGGAAGAGAAAGGAAGGAGAGGGAAGGGAAGGAGGGAGGGAGGGAAAGUUUUCUUGAACAUCUGUUAUGUACCGGAUUCCAUCUGUCUUGGGCCCUUCACAUAAAGAAACAUUGUAAUCCCAACAACCUUCUUAGAUGGCUACUGGUAUCAUUACUCACAUCCAUCAUACAGUUGAGGAAACACUGCUCAGAGAUACUAUUGGGUUGGUGCAAAAGUAAUUGUGAUUUUUACCAUGAGAAGCAAUGGCAAAGACCACAGUUGGUUUUGCACCAAACUAAUAGGUAGCUUGCUCAAGGUCAUACAACUAGCAAAUGUCUGCAUUCAUACUCAAGAGCACUGUGACCCCCAAAACCCAUGCUCCUUUCCCCUAAUAGAGACAUAUGGCCCUGGGGACCACUGGCCGCCUCUUAAGUCACAAAUUGUUGGCAACCUCUGCCUUUCUUUCAUGCAAAGCCAGUUCUGCUGCUGGGGUUGGCUCUGGAGGCCCUUCCGUCUUCUGGUCCCCACAAGCUUAGCCGGCCUUCUCAGGCAGUGCAUAGAGUAUUUUAUAUUCCCCCUGGAAGAGGACCAAGGCGCUGUGUUCUCAGCUGCCUGGGCUAAGAUCUGAAGCUCAGACCCAGCCACUGACGUCACUCGGCAUGUCCUCCACUUCCACCGGGCCGUUUAUGCUGGCACAGCCCGAGAGCAAGGCUGGCGGGAAGAGGAUCAGCCCAAACAGCAUUAAUAAGAGGCAGCUGGUUUUUAAAAGCUUCCCUGACAAUGUAAAGAAACUAAGUCAGAUGUUUUUGGAAAGGGUAUUUGAACGAAUGUGACUAGAACCUCGUCUCUUUCUAGCGCCACUCUUCCUACUUCCUUCCCCACACACUUGCUGCAAGUUUCCUGUGGCUCCUUUCAGCACAAAUGGAUGAUGACCCGAUGGGCUAAGGUCAGACACUGGCCAGCGUGAGUUAGGGUCCCAGGACUGAGUUGCAGUUAGGGUGCAACAUCAAAGCAGGUGCUCUCUCAGGAUCACCCAACAAGCACUCUCGGUGCCUGGCUUACCAUGCCCUGGUACCAGCCCUGUGGGGCAGAGUUGCUAAGAUUUUUGGGUGGAAAAAGGGUAAGUGGAC
rnacentral:lncRNA from 1 species